rnacentral:rRNA from 1 species
AAGGAAUAUUGGUCAAUGGACGCAAGUCUGAACCAGCCAUGCCGCGUGAAGGAUGAAGGUCCUCUGGAUUGUAAACUUCUUUUAUCUGGGACGAAAACGGGAUUUUUAUCUCAAUUGACGGUACCAGAGGAAUAAGCACCGGCUAACUCCGUGCCAGCAGCCGCGGUAAUACGGAGGGUGCGAGCGUUAUCCGGAUUUACUGGGUUUAAAGGGUGCGUAGGUGGGCUUAUAAGUCAGUGGUGAAAUCUCCGAGCUUAACUUGGAAACUGCCGUUGAUACUAUAGGUCUUGAAUUAUCUGGAGGUUAGCGGAAUGUGUCAUGUGGCGGUGAAAUGCUUAGAUAUGACAUAGAGCACCAAUUGCGAAGGCAGCUUACUACAUAUAAAUUGACGCUGAGGCACGAAAGCGUGGGGAUCAAACA